GAGGGUAUAGCUCAGUGACAGAGCACAUGCUUAGCAUGCACGAGGUCCUGGGUUCAAUCCCCAGCACCCCCA
rnacentral:tRNA from 1 species